rnacentral:rRNA from 1 species
UACAGAGGGGGCAAGCGUUAUUCGGAAUUAUUGGGCGUAAAGGGUGCGUAGGCGGUUUUGUAAGUCUUGUGUGAAAUCUUCAGGCUCAACUUGAAGACUGCACGAGAAACUGCAGGGCUUGAGUGUGGGAGAGGUGAGUGGAAUUCCUGGUGUAGCGGUGAAAUGCGUAGAUAUCAGGAGGAACACCUGUGGCGAAAGCGGCUCACUGGACCACAACUGACGCUGAUGCACGAAAGCUAGGGGAGCAAACAGG